GCGCCCGUAGCUCAGCUGGAUAGAGCGUAUCCCUGCGGAGGAUAAGGCCGUGAGUUCGAAUCUCACCGGGCGCACCA
rnacentral:tRNA from 2 species